AGGCGGGCGCUCCGUGGCCGAUAGAUGGCAGCCGAGGGCGAAGGCGUCCCUGGGCUCGGGCGGCGCAACCGGAGCCCCCCUUGGAUGUCACAUUCGUGGGAGACAGUGGAGUCUUGGACCAUGUGCGUAACAGGAGCGUGGGACUGUGCAAUCCUCGGAUUGAAAAAGGGAGGAGUGGAAAUAACCCCGACAGUGUCAGGCUUGUUGGUGGUCAGGGACAGAUGAUUCCAGCUCUGCGCUCAUCGCCUGCCUUCCACCUCCCAUUUAGACUAACACAGCCCGUGCUGCUGUCUCUUGUACUUAAUGUAAAGGACCCUGGAAGAGGGAGUGGUUCAUCCUAGCUACAAACAAGGGCGCUUUUUUUUUUUUUGUAAGAAUUACGUUUUAUAAGUAUGUCCGGGAGAUACAAGGGAAUGCGAACGACUUUCAGAGAGAUUGUGAAUGUAUUUGGUGUGUACUAAAAAGCUGGAAAUCCCUAAAUAAAUGCAGUAUCGAUAGAAAGCAAGUUUCUUGAAGAGUCAUCUGCUAAACUCUACUAGCGUCAUCUCUACAUUCUGGAUAUCACCACCUUCUCUUUGUGCCUCGUCUCCAUCCUUCAUGAUCAAUACUCAGCUAUUGGUAGACAUGAAGUUAAAGCACCUGAUCUCAGUGAUAGAAAAGGAGCUGAGGAGUUUGUGGAGACUUCUGCCUAAGAAGCCACUCAGAAAAGUCACUGCCAUGCAUGAUGAGUGCUGGAGAUCCCAGAUCACAUCCUUGUCAUGAGAGCUUCCCUGGAGUGCAGGCUCUCACUAGGAGCCCUGGUGCAGGGAGACCCCAGUCUCGGGAGGAACGGCAGUCUAAGUGGGUCUCUCUUGGCAUUGACGUCUUCUGCCUUGGGGAAGCGUGAAGAAGUGAAACUGUCCUUACACUAUUUAAUACGUCUAAUUCAGAUUUAAUGCUCCAGUGGUGAGCUAGAUCUUCUCCACCAGACUCCUGGGUCCCCACAAAGGUAUCCUUGUCCAUGGGGAUUGUCAAAACCCAUGUUCUAUGGCAGUUGGUGUGGGACAAGGGGGGAAUGAUGGCAGAAAACUCUUCUGUCACUCUGCUGAUGUUCCUCCAUGAAUCAGUCUUUGAUGUUUUAUCAUCCCUCAAUUACAAUUGCACAUAAAAAAUUAAUAGUUCCAGUUAGAUUAUAAUAUGCACAGUUUUUUUUUUACUAUAGAUUACAUUAUUUAUCAUCUAAAAUAUCCUGUCAAAUGUGUUUUUUCUCCUCUAUUUUAUGUCUUAGUGAAAGUAUCCAUCCUGAACUCAGCUACCAACUAUAAUAAAUAAACUAGGAGUCAUUCUACAAUCUCCCACUUUCUUCAGUAGUCCAUGCAAAUUUGAUGCCCUAAAUAGUUCUUAAAGUCAGUCUCCAUUUUUCUUUCCUACACUGGCUGUCUCGGGUAAGAUCUCAUUGUUUCUUGCCUGGAUUGCAGAUUCAACAUCUCAAUUUUUCCUCUUUCUUCAUGUCUCAAUAACUUCAAACUUGUCUUACUGCCUGCAGCAGGCUGUUUCAACUGAACAUACUGCUUAAUCCCUAAGAUAAGCUUUUUAAAACCUAUUGAUGGCUCUCUCUUCCUCCUUUCACCAUGCAUCUUCAUGAAGUGGUUACAGGUGUGCUUAGGUAAUUACAUCUUCCCCUCUCCGGGCCACAGCAAGGGGACCCCGACUUCUGCAUUGUCCCUGGCCAGGGGCAGCUACAUGCUUACCUUGGUUCAACAGGUGAGCAUGCUCAUUUACCAUGGAUCACUGGGUGCAUAAAUGUGGAAAACACUAAACCAGAAAACUCAAAGUCCUUUCAGUGACAUACAGGACCUACCAUGCAAAGCUGUACUAUAUAAUGCUUUUGUGAACAUUUUUAAAAGCAUAUCCCUGAGCCCCAAAUAGAUGUUACCUCAAGUAGAUAGCAGGCCAACCUGACAGUAUCUUAGUGCUUAAAAGAAAAAUUGUUCCUCUGGGACAGAUGCAGCCCUGAGUCAGAUUGCAGGAAUUGGGCCAGUUUCCCAAACUGUGUAACAAUGCCUUCCUUUGAGGCAUUUUCAUGUUGUUUCACAAGUUAUGCUUUUACUUUUCCUGUCAUUACUGAUUUGAAUAACCCUCCCUAUUCUCUUUCCUUUAAUAACUUUUAAUUACCUGUACACUUUCAACUCAAGUGUACCUGGAACCUAUAACUUUGCUUCCAACAAAUUUAUUGUGUACCAUGAUUACAGCCACUAUUACACCGUUUUCUGUAUAUUUAGUGUUUGCCUUUUCCAAUGGACUAAAACUCCAUAAAGUUUGAUUACUUCUCAACCCAGAAAUUGACUCCUGGGUAUCUACUGGAGAGAAAUAAAAACAUAUCCACACGAAGACUUGCACACAAUGUUCUUAUUGACACUAUUCAUAACAGCCCAUGAGUGAAAAUAACCUGUUUGUCCAUCAGCUUGUGGAAUGGAUAGACAAAAUGUGUUAUAACCAUACAGCAGACUACUAGUCCACUGUAAAAGGACCAACCAUGUAUACAUGCUAUGAUAUGGAUGAACAUUAUGCACAGUGAAAGAAGUCAGAUAUAAGAAAUCAUAUUGUAUUAUUCCAUUUAUGUUAAGUGUCUAGAAAAGGCAAAUCUUUGAAGGUAGAAAGUAGAUUGGUGAUUGACUGGGAUGGAGGAGAGGGAAAUUAACAGUAAAUAUGCAUAAAGGAUUACUGGAGUGAUGGAAAAUCUAAACCUAAUUUAUUUCGAUGGUUGAAUAACUUGGUAAAUUUACUAAAGUAUCAUUGAAUUAUACACUUGAAAUGGAUCAAUCACACAAUAUGUAAAAUAUUCCUCAAUAAAGUUAUUUUUAAAAACUUAGAUUACUUCUUUAUUCAGCUUUGUAAUUUUAACUACCAACCCAAGA